CUAAAUGUCUGCUAUGACAAGUCUUUCCCAAUCUCUCAUGUACGCUUCUGGGUCCUGCAGAUCAUAUUUGUGUCUGUACACACAAUCUUGUACCUGACUCAUGUGUCCCAUGUGACAUGAAAGGAAGAGAAACUGAACAAGAAAGAGGAGGAACUCAAGGCUGCCCAAACUGAUGAUGUCAAUGUGGACAUGCACUUGAAGCAGACUGAUCAAGAAGUUCAACUAUGGUAUUGAAGACCAUGGCAAGGUGAAAAUGCAAGGAGGGUUGCUGCGAACCUACAUCAUCAGUAUCCUCUUCAAGUCUAUCUUCCAGGUGGCUUUCUUGCUGAUCCAGUGGUACAUCUGUGGAUUCAGCUUGAGUGCCAUUUACACUUCAAAAGAGAUCCCUGCCCACAUCAGGUGGACUGCUUCCUCUCUUGCCUCACAGAGAAAACCAUCUUCACCAUCUUCAUGCUGGUGGUGUCCUUGGUGUCUGUUGCCUUGAAUAUCAUUGAACUCUUCUAUGUUUUCUGAAGGGCAUUAAGGAUCAGCUUAAGGGAAACAGUGACCCUUACCAUGCCACCACUGGCUCACUGAGCCCUGCCAAAAACUGUGGGUCUCCAAAAUAUUUUUAUUUCAGUGGCUGCUCCUCACCAACCGCUCCCCUCUCACCCACGUCUACUCCUAUGUCCAAGCUAGUUGCUGGCCACAGAAACCAUUCUUGCCGCAAUUACAACAAGCAAGCAAGUGAGCAAAACUGGGCUAAUUACAGUGCAGAACAAAACCAAAUGGGGCAGGUGGGAAGCACCAUCUCUAACUCCCAUGCACAGCCUUUUGAUUUCCCUGAUGAUAAUGAGAAUUCUAAAAAAACUAGCUGCUGUACACAAACUACAGCCACUAGCCAUUGUGAACCAGCAACCUUCAAGUAGAGCCACCAGUCAUGACAGCAGCAAACUUCGGCUUGAUGAUCUGGAGAUCUAGAUACAGGCUUAAAAGCAUCAAGAUUCCACUCAAUUGUGGAGAAGAAAAAAGGUGCUGUAGAAAGUGCACCAGGUGUUAAUUUUGAUCCAGUGGAGGUGGUAUGCAACAGCCUUAUUCAUGAAGCUUAGAAAACACAAAAACAUUAGAAUACCUAGGUUCAUUGAGGUUGUCUGGGGUAGCUAGGUGGAGGGGGAGGGGAUAAGAGAGGUACAUGUUGGUAUUUAAAGUAGUGGACUCAAAUAACUUAGACUAUAAAUAAGAGUUCCAUUAGGUGAUACAUAGAUAAGGGCUUUUUCUCCCAGCAAACACCCAUAAGAAUGGUUCUGUGUAUGUGAAUGAGUGGGUGGUAAUUGUGACUAAAUAUUUUUGUUUUACCAAGAAA